CUUAGGGAGGAGCUUGCGUCACAUUAGUUAGUUGGUGGGGUAAAGGCCUACCAAGACUAUGAUGUGUAGCCGGGCUGAGAGGUUGAACGGCCACAUUGGGACUGAGACACGGCCCAAACUCCUACGGGAGGCAGCAGUAGGGAAUUUUCGGCAAUGGAGGAAACUCUGACCGAGCAACGCCGCGUGAACGAUGAAGUAUUUCGGUACGUAAAGUUCUUUUAUUAGGGAAGAAUAAAUGAUGGAAAAAUCAUUCUGACGGUACCUAAUGAAUAAGCCCCGGCUAACUAUGUGCCAGCAGCCGCGGUAAUACAUAGGGGGCAAGCGUUAUCCGGAAUUAUUGGGCGUAAAGGGUGCGUAGGCGGUUAAAUAAGUUUAUGGUCUAAGUGCAAUGCUCAACAUUGUGAUGCUAUAAAAACUGUUUAGCUAGAGUAAGAUAGAGGCAAGUGGAAUUCCAUGUGUAGUGGUAAAAUGCGUAAAUAUAUGGAGGAACACCAGUAGCGAAGGCGGCUUGCUGGGUCUUUACUGACGCUGAGGCACGAAAGCGUGGGGAGCAAACAGGAUUAGAUACCCUGGUAGUCCACGCCGUAAACGAUGAGUACUAAACGUUGGGUAAAACCAGUGUUGAAGUUAACACAUUAAGUACUCCGCCUGAGUAGUACGUACGCAAGUAUGAAACUUAAAGGAAUUGACGGGACUCCGCACAAGCGGUGGAUCAUGUUGUUUAAUUCGAAGGUACCCGAAAAACCUCACCAGGUCUUGACAUGCUUCUGCAAAACUGUAGAAACACAGUGGAGGUUAUCAGUUGCACAGGUGGUGCAUGGUUGUCGUCAGCUCGUGUCGUGAGAUGUUGGGUUAAGUCCCGCAACGAGCGCAACCCUUAUUGUUAGUUACCAGCACGUAAUGGUGGGGACUUUA
rnacentral:rRNA from 1 species